AUGUAUAGCCAUGGGAUUGAGCUGGCUUGCCAAAAGCAGAAAGAAUUUGUGAAGAGCUCUGUGGCUUGCAAAUGGAAUCUUGCUGAAGCUCAGCAGAAACUUGGUAGCUUAGCGCUGCAUAACUCUGAGUCCUUGGAUCAGGAGCAUGCUAAAGCACGAACAGCAGUGUCAGAACUGAGGCAGCGGGAAGAAGAAUGGAGGCAGAAAGAAGAGGCUUUGGUCCAAGGAGAGAGGAUGUGUCUCUGGAACAUGGAUGCCAUUAGCAAGGAUGUUUUUAAUAAGAGUUUUAUUAAUCAAGAUAAAAGAAAAACAGAAGAUGAAGAUAAAUCACAAUCAUUUAUGCAGAAAUAUGAGCAAAAAAUCAGACAUUUUGGUAUGUUAAGUCGAUGGGAUGAUAGUCAGAGAUUUUUGUCUGAUCAUCCAUACCUUGUAUGUGAAGAAACUGCUAAAUAUCUUAUUUUAUGGUGUUUUCACCUAGAAGCUGAGCAGAAAGGGGCUUUAAUGGAACAAAUAGCACAUCAAGCUGUUGUAAUGCAGUUUAUUAUGGAAAUGGCCAAAAACUGUAAUGUGGAUCCAAGAGGGUGUUUUCGUUUGUUUUUCCAGAAAGCCAAAGCAGAGGAAGAAGGUUAUUUUGAAGCAUUCAAAAAUGAACUUGAAGCUUUCAAGUCAAGAGUAAGACUUUAUUCUCAAUCACAGAGUUUUCAACCUGUGACAGUUCAGAAUCAUGUUCCCCAUUCUGGUGUUGGAUGUAUAGGCGCAUUAGAAUCCUUACCACAGUCUCUCCAUGACAGUGCGGUGGGUGAAUGAAUUCCGGAGAAUCUCCUCAGCCAAUACUUGAUAAUCAAAAUUUUGUCAUGGAAAUCUGGAGCCCAGUCAUAAUAGAGUAAUUAAUCCAGAUUAUCUUCAGUAUUCUAUCAACACAGCUCUCUGCAGUUUAAACUCAGUGGUACACAAAGAUGAUGAUGAACCCAAAAUGAUGGACACUGUAUAAUUUGGUUGACACUGCUGAGGCCAAGUGCUAUUUUGUUACAAGAAAGGAAGAACUUGGCUAUUUUCUUGACACUUUUAUGGGUGCUGCACUUUAUUUUUGUUUGGUUUUUGAUGGAGGGAAAAAAAGAGUAUGGAGAUGUUUUGUAACUUUUUUUAUGUGCUGCUAGGUUUUUUUGUUUUGUUGUUUCUGAAGGGAGGAGUGGUAUCCUAUGUUGCAGGAGUCAAACUGGACUCUCCCCUCGCCCCUUGGUUACUAAAUUUGCCUUUAAUUGUUCUCAAUUUCGGAAUCAAAGUUAUGAAAAUCUGCACAAUGCAAUGUUUACAAGAACUGGUUGAUUGGAGGAGGCACCUGCUACAGUCUUUUUAUAUGGUAUGUACAUGUCCUGUUCUACAGAGAGAAUUAAAGAUAAAAAUGCACUUGUAUCCCACUGAAAAGUUUAGCUGUCAAAUCUGGUGUUUCAUCAUAUUAAAAGCAAUAAAUUAAUAGUUGGUAACAUACUUUAGUAAGUAAUCUGGGUGGCACACAUUUUUCUUUUACAAUAAUACAUUUGUGUUUUCGGCACCAUCAGUUAAAUCCUUGUUUAUGAUAUAAAUUCAAUACUAAAAGCAUUAUAAUCAUUUACUCCCAAAGUAUUCUCAAAACUGUUUUUAGAAGUUGAUUUUACUGAGUAUAAUCAGUACAAAAAGUAAUAAGCUCAUAAUUUUUUGUUUUUUAACAAGAUAAACGUCAGUCUUAAUUUCUUUACUUGUCAUAGUCUGGGGCCUCUCAGGGAGUAAGUUUUAAAAGAAUUCUAAUGCCCAUAAGAACAAACAAGAAUACCAUUUUAAAAUUAAGGUUAUUGUGUGUUUCAGUCUGAUGUAGCCUUGAGGAAUGUCAUAGAGCUAAUCUGCCUUGAGCUGAUGUCUAAGAAUUUGGUAACAGUCAGGAUGGAUUAUUAUUCACCUCUAGCUCAGCUACUUAGAAUGCUUCUGAGCUUCACUUCUUCCUAUAUAAUUCACUGUAGAUAUACCAGGAUAUUUAAUAACUUCUUUUAUUUGGAAUUGGAGACAGUGCUAAUUAUGAUAUCAUUAUUUAAGAAUUAAUCUUCUGACUGAGAAGAGUAUUAGCUUUGAUUAGUUUUGAGUCUUUGGCUCAGUGAACCCACCCAUUGAGAUUCCUAACAAACAUUUGGAAGAUGACUAACUGGAAUUGGGAAGACAAUGCAUUAAGUUGAAAAACCAAAUAAUGCUAAGCAGCCAAGUGGGGAUCAAAACUGUGACUUUGGCCUUUUUUACCUUGCCUCAGCUGAGGUGAUAGGCACUCAGUACUCAAAUGGACUAGAAUCAGUGAAUCACACUUCUGUAACAUUACAAUCUUCCUGGUUUCCAGAAUAAAAGUCUUUUUGAGCUUUUGAUAUAAAUAUGUACUCUAUAAUAAAGUGUUUGACUGAUUUAUAUGGUAGUAUUCAUCAACUUGUAACUUUUUUACCCAUCUAGUCAUAGUAGAUUUGAUUUUCUUAUGUUUUCUUUUUUCCCAUUUCUUUUUUGUCUUGUUCUGGAGCACGCUCUCAAUUUUUCCCUUUGUACCAAAUGGAUGGACUAGAACAAAAUGAGUGAUUUCACAGACACGUUCCUUGGACCAUUGUUUUCUACUCCAACCUUACUUCUCCCCAGGAUUUGCCUGUCAUCAUUCAGAUGGUCUUGACUUUUCAUUUUGUCUUAUUUAAUUAAAAGCUAUUGCGGUUGGGGAUUUAGCUCAGUGGUAGAACACUUGCCUAGCAAGUGCAAGGCCCUGGGUUCAGUCCUCAGCUCCGGGGAAAAAAAAAAAAAAAAAAAAAAAAAAAAAAAGCUAUUGAUGGCUAAAAACUGGCAAGAAAGGAUGGAUUGGCAAACUAAGUAUAUAAUUAAAGAUGAUUUUGUUUUUGUUUUUUGAGACAGAAAUCACUAAGAUCUGAUUUUUAAAGUUUCACUAGAUUUUUGUCUUUUCAGAAGGAAGUGCUGUGCAUUCCAGUGUGUGAAAGUGUGAUUGAUUUAAGAACCACUGACUUCAUAAUUUUCCCUUAAAGAUAGUGACUUCGUAACUGGCAGUACUUGGCCUAAGAGCAGUAAAUUGGCAUCCCUUUGUUUGUCUUUGUUUUAAAAUAGCCCUUUAGUACCAAGAGCUAACUCCUACCAAAGUAGUCUCUCUUCUGUUUUUGUUAGAAGGAAUGAGGACUAGUUAGCACAUGGAUACCACAUUUCAGGUUAGGAAAUUUUACUUAGUCAAACUAAGAAAAGUCGAAACUGAUAAAUGGAAACUGUUUGACCUCACAGUAUUAUACUCAACAAAGACCAUUGUUGGUAAAAUUCAUCUAUUUAAUAAAAGAUUUCUUUUUUAA